rnacentral:rRNA from 1 species
UACGGAGGAUCCGAGCGUUAUCCGGAUUUAUUGGGUUUAAGGGGUGCGUAGGCGGUUUGAUAAGUUAGAGGUGAAAUGUCGGGGCUCAACCCCGAAACUGCCUCUAAUACUGUUGGACUAGAGAAUAGUUGCGGUAGGCGGAAUGUAUGGUGUAGCGGUGAAAUGCUUAGAGAUCAUACAGAACACCGAUUGCGAAGGCAGCUUACCAAACUAUAUCCGACGUUGAGGCACGAAAGCGUGGGUAGCAAACAGG